CAUGAAUGUGGAAAUAUCGUAAAUGAGCUAAAAUGGCUAUCCGACUCUGAACAUCUGACAUGACAUGUCUGACUAGUCUAGUCUAUGAAACCUCUACAUAAGACUGAACAUGAAAACAUACUCGCUGGGACAAGCCCCCAGCAUACCUUUAAAUGCAUAUCUUAUUAUGAAAAUAAUAAAUAAUAAAUGUCUAAGCCCCGGAAGAGAUGAGGCUUACCAACAAGCUGAUAAGUGCGAAGUCCUACUAGGCAGAUGCGUUGUCCUGUAAAUCAGUACCUGCAUCUUCGACUCGUGGAUGACCUUUCAGUUCCUCUUUCUCUUCCCAUUCCUUUGCAUUCCGAUAGUCAGUCAGCGAUCCACAUAACUAAAAAUCCGGUCUUCCAUGAACGGAUCAAGCAUGUGGAUCUCGACUGUCACUUUGUUAAGCAACAGUUCUUAGCAGGUCUCAUUUUCUUUUUGUAUGUUCCUUCUUCUCUUCAGUUGGCAGAUCUCUUUACUAAACCCCUAUCUGGUUCUUCUCACAUAUCUAUGUUGGGCAAGUUGGGUGUUCGUACCUCCCCUCCAACUUGAGGGGGGAUGUUGGUGAGAAGAAAUCAUCCGAUGAUCGGAAAACUUUAGAUGGUCAAGAACAAGAAAAAGAUGGUAAGAAAAAUGAGUUGAAGGAAAAGCAUUUAGUUUUUGGAUUAAACUAUGUUUGGUGGUUUUGUUCCUUAAAGUUCUUGUUUGAAAAUGUUCAUGGACCGGGUUAUUGGGCUACAACAAAUCUGGUCAACAAUUCAAGACUUGGGCCUAUACCUUUUCGUUCCCAGAAGCCCAUUUGGUGGAAAUAUCCUCAACAUAAACAGUUGUUCAUAGAACAUUCUAGAUUUUUGCAUUUCUGUAUUUUAUUUAUAUAUUUAAUUUUUAUUAGCUGUAGAAUUAGUUAUAUGGACACAAAUAGGAAUAGGACGGCUGUAUAGUUAGUUAUUAGAAAUAUUCUUUUACAUAGCUAUAAAUAGGACAAUGUAUAUUGAUUGAGUAUACACUGAAUAUUACAUCAGGAAAUUUUCUCAAAA